UCUGGUGCCGAUGCGCUUAGGGGAAACACCCGUACCCAUUCCGAACACGAUGGUUAAGACUUAAGCGGCCGAUGGUACUAUGCUGGAGACGGCAUGGGAGAGCAGGUGGCUGCCGGAU
rnacentral:rRNA from 1 species